rnacentral:rRNA from 1 species
UACAGAGGUCUCAAGCGUUGUUCGGAUUCAUUGGGCGUAAAGAGCUCGUAGGCGGUCUGUUACGUCUGCUGUGAAAACCCGGGGCUUAACCCUGGGCUUGCAGUGGAUACGGGCAGACUAGAGGCAGGUAGGGGAGAAUGGAAUUCCCGGUGUAGCGGUGAAAUGCGCAGAUAUCGGGAGGAACACCAGUGGCGAAGGCGACUACCUGGCCUGUUCUUGACGCUGAGGCGCGAAAGCUAGGGUAGCAAACGGG